UUUUUAUAGAUAUAAUUGUACAAUAUUACCUGCUCAAUGGAUUUCCUAAAUAGCAGNGUAAGCUCUAAGGUAGCAUAAUCAAUAGUCUUUUAAUUGAGGGAUAGUAUGAAUGGUAAAACACAUAGAAUUUAGUUUUAAGAUUAUAAUUUAAAUUUAGUAAGUUAGUUAAAAUCCUAACUAUAUAUUUAGGGACAAGAAGACCCUAUAAAGUUUAACUUUUAAGUUUUAUUUGUAGAACGAUCGAGUUUUGUUGGGGUAACAUUAUAAGAUAAAAUUUUAUAAUCAUGAAUUUUACUAAGAUUUUAUGAACCAUUUUUAGUGAUUAUAAGAUUAAAUUACUUUAGGGAUAACAGCAUAAUUAAAAUUUCUAAGCUCAAAUUGACAAUUUUGAUUAUGACCUCGAUGUUGGAUUAAUUUUCGUAGUGGCGAAGCAGCUAUUACAGAAAGUCUGUUCGACUUUUUAUUAAUUACA
rnacentral:rRNA from 1 species